UACGUAGGGCGCAAGCGUUGUCCGGAAUUAUUGGGCGUAAAGAGCUCGUAGGCGGUUUGUCGCGUCUGCUGUGAAAUCCCGAGGCUCAACCUCGGGCUUGCAGUGGGUACGGGCAGACUAGAGUGCGGUAGGGGAGACUGGAAUUCCUGGUGUAGCGGUGGAAUGCGCAGAUAUCAGGAGGAACACCGAUGGCGAAGGCAGGGUCUCUGGGCCGCA
rnacentral:rRNA from 1 species